rnacentral:rRNA from 2 species
CUGGAGGAAUACCGGUGGCGAAGGCGGCCCCCUGGACAAAGACUGACGCUCAGGUGCGAAAGCGUGGGGAGCAAACAGGAUUAGAUACCCUGGUAGUCCACGCCGUAAACGAUGUCUACUUGGAGGUUGUGCCCUUGAGGCGUGGCUUCCGGAGCUAACGCGUUAAGUAGACCGCCUGGGGAGUACGGCCGCAAGGUUAAAACUCAAAUGAAUUGACGGGGGCCCGCACAAGCGGUGGAGCAUGUGGUUUAAUUCGAUGCAACGCGAAGAACCUUACCUGGUCUUGACAUCCACAGAACUUUCCAGAGAUGGAUUGGUGCCUUCGGGAACUGUGAGACAGGUGCUGCAUGGCUGUCGUCAGCUCGUGUUGUGAAAUGUUGGGUUAAGUCCCGCAACGAGCGCAAC